AGGUGCUGAAGGCUGAGACGGUGAGAGCAUGAGUGAUAAGAUGCUCUCUCCCCUUGCUCUCUUUCUGAAGAUGACAAACUCCAUCUUUUUUCUAAAGUCUUACUAAAGUGGUGGGAAUCCAAGUUACACAGCACCAAAAUAUGUUGUCAGUGGCAAAUCCAUACGGGUCUGCAACAACAAUUCUUGUGUCCUCAGGAGAGAAUCUGACUAAGGGGCAUAAGGCAGAAGAGACCAAGACAAGUUUUAGAGCAGGAGUGAAGGUUUGUUGAAAAACUUUAGAGGAGGAAUGAAAAGAAAGUAAAGUACACUUGGAAGAGGGCCAAGCGGGCAUCUUGGAGAACAAGUGCCCCAUUUGACCUUGGACGUAGGGUUUUACAUGUUGGCAUACUUCUGGCAUCUUGCAUCCCUUUUCCCUUGAUUCCUCCCUUGGAGUGGGAGGCCUGUUAGCACUUUGGAGGUGACAAUGUAUAUAGUAUAAUGAAGGAUGUUACUAAAUGACAUGUGCUGCACACCU
rnacentral:sRNA from 1 species